rnacentral:rRNA from 1 species
CCUACGGGCGGCAGCAGUGAGGAAUAUUGGUCAAUGGGCGGAAGCCUGAACCAGCCAAGUAGCGUGCGGGAUGAAGGCCCUACGGGUCGUAAACCGCUUUUGUACGGGGAUAACACCCUCCACUUGUGGAGGCAUGCAGGUACCGUACGAAUAAGGGCCGGCUAAUUCCGUGCCAGCAGCCGCGGUAAUACGGAAGGCGCGAGCGUUAUCCGGAUUCAUUGGGUUUAAAGGGAGCGUAGGCGGGCGUUCAAGUCAGCUGUAAAAUCGCGGGGCUCAACCGCGCCCCGCAGUUGAAACUGGACACCUUGAGUGCACAAGAGGCAGGCGGAAUUCGUGGUGUAGCGGUGAAAUGCAUAGAGAUCACGAGGAACCCCGAUUGCGAAGGCAGCCUGCCGGGGUGCGACUGACGCUGAGGCUCGAAGGUGCGGGUAUCAAACAGGAUUAGAUACCCUUGUAGUC